AGCCACGUAGCCUAGUGGUAACGCUUCCGCCUCGUAAGCGGUAGAUCGGGGUUCAAAUCCCGACUCUGACCA
rfam:Culex pipiens quinquefasciatus supercont3.566 genomic scaffold, whole genome shotgun sequence.